rnacentral:rRNA from 1 species
UCGGCAAAAUGACCCCGUAACUUAGGGAUAAGGGGUGCCACCAUCCGGUGGCCGCAGAGAAUAGGCCCAAGCGACUGUUUACCAAAAACAUAGGUUUCUGCUAAGUCGCAAGACGAUGUAUAGGAGCUGACGCCUGCCCGGUGCUGGAAGGCUAAGGGGAUCUGUUAGAGCAAUCGAAGCAGUGAACUUAAGCCCCAGUAAACGGCGGCCGUAACUAUAACGGUCCUAAGGUAGCGAAAUUCCUUGUCGGGUAAGUUCCGACCCGCACGAAAGGCGUAACGAUUUGGGCACUGUCUCA